UCCCGCUUGACGCGGGCAGUCUCCCUAGAGUUCCCACCAUAACGUGCUGGUAACUAAGGAUGAGGGUUGCGCUCGUUGCGGGACUUAACCCAACAUCUCACGACACGAGCUGUCGACAGCCAUGCAGCACCUGUGUUCCGAUUCCCUUUCGGGCACACCCAGCUCUCACCAGGCUUCCGGACAUGUCAAGGGUAGGUAAGGUUGUUCGCGUUGCAUCGAAUUAAUCCACAUCAUCCACCGCUUGUGCGGGUCCCCGUCAAUUCCUUUGAGUUUUAAUCUUGCGACCGUACUCCCCAGGCGGUCAACUUCACGCGUUAGCUGCGGUACCAAGAACUUGCGCUCCCAACACCUAGUUGACAUCGUUUAGGGCGUGGACUAC
rnacentral:misc_RNA from 1 species